rnacentral:rRNA from 1 species
GACGAACGCUGGCGGCGUGCUUAACACAUGCAAGUCGAACGGAAAGGCCCUGCUUGCAGGGUACUCGAGUGGCGAACGGGUGAGUAACACGUGGGUGAUCUGCCCUGCACUUCGGGAUAAGCCUGGGAAACUGGGUCUAAUACCGGAUAGGAGCCAUUUUUAGUGUGAUGGUUGGAAAGUUUUUUCGGUGUAGGAUGAGCUCGCGGCCUAUCAGCUUGUUGGUGGGGUAAUGGCCUACCAAGGCGGCGACGGGUAGCCGGCCUGGGAGGGUGGACGGCCACAAUGGGACUGAGAUACGGCCCAGACUCCUACGGGAGGCAGGAGUGGGGAAUAAUGCACAAUGGGCGCAAGCCUGAUGCAGCGACGCCGCGGGGGGGAUGACGGCCUUCGGGUUGUAAACGCGUUUCGCUAGGGACGAAGCUUUUUGUGACGGUACCUAGAGAAGAAGCACCGGCUAACUACGUG